CUUCAUUCCCCCUUACCUAUUCAGAAAUGUCAACAACUACAACAUCAUCAUCAUCCUUACGACCAAGACCCACGACCAACAAACUCCCACCCGAUUCCCAACCACCGCCCGACAUCCCUCCGCCGCCGGCAACCACGCACAAAACCUUAUCCCAGCGAGCAAUCUCCCAAACGCUAACCACAACAGCCAACCUAGCAAACCUCCUCCCUACCGGAACCGUCCUAGCCUUCCAGCUCCUCACCCCACUCU
rnacentral:lncRNA from 1 species